rnacentral:rRNA from 1 species
AUUCGAUUAGUUUGAUCCUGGCUCAGAUUGAACGCUGGCGGCAUGCUUUACACAUGCAAGUCGAACGGCAGCGGGGGCUUCGGCCUGCCGGCGAGUGGCGAACGGGUGAGUAAUACAUCGGAACGUGUCCUUAAGUGGGGAAUAACGCAUCGAAAGAUGUGCUAAUACCGCAUAUCUCUCAGGAGGAAAGCAGGGGAUCGAAAGACCUUGCGCUAAAGGAGCGGCUGAUGUCUGAUUAGCUAGUUGGUGGGGUAAAGGCUUACCAAGGCAACGAUCAGUAGCUGGUCUGAGAGGACGACCAGCCACACUGGGACUGAGACACGGCCCAGACUCCUACGGGAGGCAGCAGUGGGGAAUUUUGGACAAUGGGCGAAAGCCUGAUCCAGCCAUGCCGCGUGAGUGAAGAAGGCCUUCGGGUUGUAAAGCUCUUUUAGUCGGAAAGAAAGAGUCAUAGUAAAUAGCUAUGAUUUAUGACGGUACCGACAGAAAAAGCACCGGCUAACUACGUGCCAGCAGCCGCGGUAAUACGUAGGGUGCGAGCGUUAAUCGGAAUUACUGGGCGUAAAGGGUGCGCAGGCGGCCUUGUAAGUCAGAUGUGAAAGCCCCGGGCUUAACCUGGGAAUUGCGUUUGAAACUACAAAGCUAGAGUGCAGCAGAGGGGAGUGGAAUUCCAUGUGUAGCAGUGAAAUGCGUAGAGAUGUGGAAGAACACCGAUGGCGAAGGCAGCUCCCUGGGUUGACACUGACGCUC